AGUGAACGCUGGCGGUAGGCCUAACACAUGCAAGUCGAACGGCAGCACAGAGGAGCUUGCUCCUUGGGUGGCGAGUGGCGGACGGGUGAGGAAUACAUCGGAAUCUACUCUGUCGUGGGGGAUAACGUAGGGAAACUUACGCUAAUACCGCAUACGACCUACGGGUGAAAGCAGGGGACCUUCGGGCCUUGCGCGAUUGAAUGAGCCGAUGUCGGAUUAGCUAGUUGGCGGGGUAAAGGCCCACCAAGGCGACGAUCCGUAGCUGGUCUGAGAGGAUGAUCAGCCACACUGGAACUGAGACACGGUCCAGACUCCUACGGGAGGCAGCAGUGGGGAAUAUUGGACAAUGGGCGCAAGCCUGAUCCAGCCAUACCGCGUGGGUGAAGAAGGCCUUCGGGUUGUAAAGCCCUUUUGUUGGGAAAGAAAUCCAGCUGGCUAAUACCCGGUUGGGAUGACGGUACCCAAAGAAUAAGCACCGGCUAACUUCGUGCCAGCCGCCGCCGUAA
rnacentral:rRNA from 1 species